rnacentral:rRNA from 1 species
AUACGGAGGGUGCGAGCGUUAAUCGGAAUCACUGGGCGUAAAGGACGCGUAGGCGGGUUGGCAAGUCAGAUGUGAAAUCCUACAGCUUAACUGUAGAACUGCAUUUGAAACUGCUAACCUAGAGUAUGGGAGGGGGAGAUGGAAUUAGUGGUGUAGGGGUAAAAUCCGUAGAUAUCACUAGGAAUACCGAAAGCGAAGGCGAUCUCCUGGAACAUAACUGACGCUAAGGCGUGAGAGCGUGGGGAGCAAACAGGAUUAGAUACCCUAGUAGUCC